rnacentral:rRNA from 1 species
AGCGAACGCUGGCGGCAGGCCUAACACAUGCAAGUCGAACGGACCUUUCGGGGUUAGUGGCGGACGGGUGAGUAACACGUGGGAACGUGCCUUUAGGUUCGGAAUAGCUCCUGGAAACGGGUGGUAAUGCCGAAUGUGCCCUUAGGGGGAAAGAUUUAUCGCCUUUAGAGCGGCCCGCGUCUGAUUAGCUAGUUGGUGAGGUAAUGGCUCACCAAGGCUACGAUCAGUAGCUGGUCUGAGAGGAUGACCAGCCACAUUGGGACUGAGACACGGCCCAAACUCCUACGGGAGGCAGCAGUGGGGAAUCUUGCGCAAUGGGCGAAAGCCUGACGCAGCCAUGCCGCGUGGAUGAUGAAGGUCUUAGGAUUGUAAAAUCCUUUCACCGGUGAAGAUAAUGACUGUAGCCGGAGAAGAAGCCCCGGCUAACUUCGUGCCAGCAGCCGCAGUAAAAC